rnacentral:rRNA from 1 species
UACAGAGAGUGCAAACGUUGUUCGGAAUUACUGGGCUUGAAGCGCACGUAGGCGGCGUUGUAAGUGUCGGGUGAAAUCCCACGGCUCACCCGUGGAACUGCCCGGCAUACUGCGAUGCUAGAGUGUGGUAGGGGAGAGCGGAACUGAUGGUGGAGCGGUGAAGUGCGUUGAUAUCAUCAGGAACUCCGGUGGCGAAGGCGGCUCGCUGGACCUCUUCUGACGCUGAGGCGCGAAAGCCAGGGGAGCAAACGGG